AUUUGAUAAGCAUUCGAGUAUAUAAGGCUCAGCGCCCUGCCCACGAGACCAGUCUCUGCGGAGCCUUAAUCUUUGCUGUCUAACGUCUUUCAACAAUGAUGAGUCGUGGUGUGUUCGUCCUCCUGCUGGUGGCGAUGGCUUUGGCUACGCUGGUGGUGGCUGGGCCUUUCCCUGAAGCCGAAGCCGGAGCCAAGGCGGAUCCGCACUUCUACAUCCGCAGGCCCUACUACGGUAUCCAUAGGCCUAUCUAUGGUGGCUACCAUAGGCCUUAUUAUGGUUAGAGAAGGACAGACUGACCAGGCAAGGAAGUGACUGGGCAUUCGUUAUCAGCCGCUUUCACUUCACAGGAUGUUUAGGAAGUUCGUGGGACUUCAUGAAAGGCGUUUAAAAAGCGGAAACCUUCAUCAUUGAUUCUCUUAAGAUUUAAAUCCUUUUUUUGUGGAUCAAAAUUGUCAAAUAAAUUGUUGAUAGCUUGUG